rnacentral:sRNA from 1 species
CGAUGAUUAGCCCAUCACGUCACACUGGUGCUGUUCACCAUGCUGUUUUGGCGAACUUGUGACUCGCGACUAGCGUCACAGCGCUGGUCGUGGCAUUGCCA